GCUUGAUGGAGCAGUGUAGGCACUAAUGUGUGGGUGCAGGUGUGACUGAAAAAAAAUGAGACCAUAGGUAUAAAUUCAGCCAGUGCUGCUCAGAAAUCUGCUUAAAUUUCCUUACUGAAGAGCUCUAUCAAAUUUGCUAGUUGUGUAAGGGUGGGUUGUUGUUGUUAUAGUUUUCAGGAUGAGAACACAAUGUUAUUUCAUAAACCAGCUUGGCAGCCUGAGGUAAAGGUGAGAGUGGUUUUCCUCCAAGGUGAAGGCAGUACUUUCUCACCUUAAAUGCUUGUAAUAGAUUUCAUCAGAAACUGUGGUUGUUCAUAGGAGAGGGCUCUUCAGCCAGCAAGAGGUUGCCUGAUAAGUGGAAUUUGCCGUUCAAAGAAGAGUUGUGGCAAAAGUUCCAAGCACUUGGAGCUAUGCUGUCAAAUACAGGAUGGAGAUUUUAAAGACAUUACAAUUGACAUUGAAUUCAGUGGUCAUUGCAGACUCGAUUAGGAUUUGGGACUAUUCAGCGCUCCAAUAAGAACAAGCCUUGUGUUUACAACAAUGCUUUGGAGGUACUUCAGGCUGUGAAGUACAUAUGAAGCUACCCCAGAAUAAAGCAGUCUGGCUGAUGGAGUGAUCCACAACCACUCCCUGAGUCAUCAUUCAUACUGCACAGAGACUGGAUUAAAAAUGUUCAUAAAUGAAAUUAAUGAGGAAUAACUCCACUGAAGCAAUUGUAUUCAGGAGCUAUUAGUAACGUGCAUGCUGGGAUUUGUGGGCUGAGAAGUCCUACUUGUUCUGGUGAGGAUCAUGCAUGUCUUCACUAACGGAGAGCGUGGAUGGUAAUACAGAAAUGCUGGGUGAAUGCCAGAACACUGCAUGUUUUGGAAGAGCCUCCCUUCCACUCUACUUGGAAGCUGUAUUAGGUAAUGAGAAAAUCAGUUUAGUAUCCAGCUAAUAAAGGGAUGGGGGGGGAAGGAGAAAUAAGGAAAGGGGAAGCAUUCAUGGGGCCCUGUGGAGUCUUUCAUGAUGGAAAAUGGAAAAGAUCCAUGCUUUGAUGCCUGAUAUUCUUCAACCUGUGAAAUAAAGGAAGCAUUCUGAAACUUUAAGCCAUGUUUACAUUCAUAUACUUAGUUUUACUCAUGUCCUCAUAAAUAAGUUAUCUUUAACUGCAACCAAAAAAAAGGAUCUUAUACAGUUUAGUACUACCUUAUGGCUGACAUUGAUUUAAAACACUCCAUAAGGGGCACAGUACUGCAGGAUCAAUUAGAAGUAAAUGCAGUCAUGAAAGUUGCAUGAAGUAGUGUCUGCCAGAGCCUUGCAGACACUUCUUCAUAAGCUGUUUGCCACCUUAACUAAACAGAAAAAGCACCUACAUAUUUAGUUGAUUUUAUAUAAUUAAUAUACAUGUAUGGUGGCUUUAUGAGGGAAAGC